rnacentral:rRNA from 1 species
AGCAUCUGUCGUUUGCAUAGAAACACCACCUACGGCUUUCUAUAAAAAUACCUAAACCGUCAUUCCCACGAAAGUGGGAAUCCAGAACGCAAAAUCUCAAGAAACCGUUUUCCCGAUAAGUUUCCGUACCGACAGACCUAGAUUCCCGCCUGCGCGGGAAUGACGGCGGAGCGGUUUCUGUUGCUCCCGAUAAAUUCCUAAAACUUAAAAUUUCAUCAUUCCCACAAAAACAGAAAACCAAAAACAGCAACCUAAAAUUCGUCAUUCCCACGAAAGUGGGAAUCCAGAACGCAAAAUCUCAAGAAACCGUUUUACCCGAUAAGUUUCCGUACCGACAGACCUGGAUUCCCGCCUGCGCGGGAAUGACGAAGCUAUCCUUUUGGCCGAAGGUCAAAAAUCAGCCGUCACAGAGUAUUACCUGAAUCACGGCAUAUGGCCCGGCGACAACAGUUCUGCCGGCGUGGCAACCUCCUCUAAAAUCAAAGGAAAAUAUGUUAAGGAAGUUACAGUCGCAAACGGCGUCGUUACCGCCACAAUGCUUUCAAGCGGCGUAAAC